rnacentral:rRNA from 1 species
CCCUUAGAUGUUCUGGGCCGCACGCGCGCUACACUGACGGAUUCAACGAGCUUACAACCUUGGCCGAAAGGUCUGGGUAAUCUCCAAAAUCCGUCGUGAUGGGGAUAGAUUAUUGCAAUUAUUAAUCUUCAACGAGGAAUGCCUAGUAAGCGCAAGUCAUCAGCUCGCGUUGAUUACGUCCCUGCCCUUUGUACACACCGCCCGUCGCUCCUACCGAUUGAAUGGUCCGGUGAAGCAUUUGGACUAUGGUUUUCUGAUGGUCCGCCGUUGGAUUACCGUGGGAAGUUCGUUAAACCUUAUCAUUUAGAGGAAGGAGAAGUCGUAACA